UUAUGUUAUUUUGUGCAGUGUCAGUGUCUGUGGCACAACCGGCAAAAAAAAACAAAACAUUAAAGUUUAUGUCCGCGAUGCGCGCAGCAUCAGAGUUUUUAAAUUUCAUUUGCCGAAUAUUUGGGAAAGGCUGCCAUAAAUAAAAGGUAUCGCAAAAGAGCGAGCCACGAUCGACGUGACACUAUCACUUCCGAGAACCCUGUCGGCCGUUUUCCCUCCCUGCAGCCGCUCUGCGGCAUAUACAGAAACCAAAAAUGCAAGGAAAAACAAAAGGCUUCGACGAGCUGGUCAGGCAAAAAAAGCAGAUCAGUUAGCCAAUGGAAUGGCCGCUGAAUUGGCUUGCAAAGAUUCAAUGGCUCAAGUCUGGCCAAAUUCCGGAUCCCCGGAACAAAUAUCUAUAGCGUUGGAUGAACGAAGCUAUUUAAUCAUGGGUCAAAACCUGUCAGCAUCGGGUCGAGAGAGAGAGGCCAGCGAGGUAUGCUCCCGGAAGAUGUUACAAGGUUAAAAAUGCCAACGUUUGUGUUAAGAGUAUUUUUGAUUAUAUUUAUUUUUAUAAAAAAAUUAUACUUCCGUUAAUUAUGAUAUAAUAAAUGGAUUUUAAAAUCUCUUGAUUUAAUUAAUUAAAUAAAAUAAACUACGAAU